CUUCCCAUUUUCAGUUAGUUUGCCUUAUGACACGGCCAGCCCUGUCAUCAUCACACACCCUAGCGCAUUGUACAAUCCAAGGCCUAGGGCACUUUCCAGUUGAAAAAGUGCCAAAAGUGGAAAGAAAAAGGGGGUGGGGAGUGCGUGAGAGGUGAUGUGACCUGAACACCGGAGUGGAUGGGCCACCUCUCUGCUCCUAAUCCUUUCCAAACUUCUAAGAGCCUUUCCUCCUGGAAGGGGUGGAGUGAGAGCUGAUGUCAAUUUAAUGGGUCACAACUGGGUGUCUCUCCCUUCCUGGAAGGCCUGGCAACACCUCUCCUACCAUUGUGAUUAGGAAGAAAGCAGUCACAAGGGUGAUUAUCUAAUCAGGGAAUUAGCCUUGGUUCAUGAGAACAUGUAUCCAGAGCACAAACAGAAACACCCAUUUGGAAAUGUCUGGAUUUGAUGAUGUCCAAGGUCCCUUCUUAACACGGAUAUCCUGUGAUCUCAGUGACAAGCAUAAAGAGGGAAAGAGGUAUGGAUUUUCAUUGUGUAAAAAGUAUAAAUUUCUGUCAGCAAAGGUUGGUUUAAUGCUGGGUAUGUUAUUUAGGGAAAACAUUGACUCUCUUUCCCUAAAAAUCAUUAGAAGAUCAGGCUAGGCUGUUGAAAGGAUGUUUCUUCCUAAAUUUGGGAGAAAUGACUGUGUGAUUAUAAAUGUUCUGAGUGACACCUGCCUCGUGUUUCUCAGUUGGAGACUCAGUGAGAGACAGGGGGCACCCUCAAAUCAGGAUAAUUUGAGGAAGAUCCAUGAAGAGGCUAUUUUCAAAGGUAUGUGUGGGCUUCCUCGGGGAUAGUAACCAUCCUAGGCUCAAAGGUGUGAAGGUAGAAGCAGUUACGGAAUCCUAGAAGGAAAUAAAUAUGGAGAGAAGGCCCGCUUGAGAGGAGCA
rnacentral:lncRNA from 1 species